rnacentral:rRNA from 1 species
GACGAACGCUGGCGGCGUGCCUAACACAUGCAAGUCGAACGGAAAGGCCCUGCUUUUGUGGGGUGCUCGAGUGGCGAACGGGUGAGUAACACGUGAGUAAACCGCCCCUGACUUUGGGAUAACUUUAGGGAACUGGGGCUAAUACCCGAUAGGAGCUCCUGCUGCAUGGUGGGGGUUGGAAAGUUUCGGCGGGUGGGGCUGGUCUCGCGGGUUAUCCGCUGGUUGGUGGGGUAGGGGCUUACCAAGGCUUUGACGGGGAGCCGGCCUGAGAGGGUGACCGGGCACAUUGGGACUGAGAUACGGCCCAGACUCCUACGGGAGGCAGCAGUGGGGAAUAUUGCGCAAUGGGCGGAAGCCUGAUGCAGCAACGCCGCGUGCGGGAUGACGGCCUUCGGGUUGUAAACCGCUUUCGCCUGUGACGAAGCGUGAGUGACGGUAAUGGGUAAAGAAGCACCGGCUAACUACGUG